UUUAAUGUAUAAAAAAUUCUGUUGGUAUCUGAAAUUAUUACUAUUACUUUUUUUGUAUAUAAUCAUAACACAAAUGAUUACCUUAACACCCAGCCUCUAACAUUCCGACAGUAAUGCAAAUAAUUCAAAUUUGUUUUUAACGGAAAUGAGUGAUGCAGUUGACUUUGUUGUCAGCACUUUUGUUCAGGAUUUUAUCAAUAGUUCAGCAAACAUUGAAUUAACCACUGUUAGCAGUACUGUUAAUGACUUAUCGGCUGAACCUCAGAAUACGGUUAAUAGUUCUUCAUACCCUGAAUUAUGUGAAGUAAAUAGUAUCAUUGAUGG